rnacentral:rRNA from 1 species
UACAGAGGGUGCGAGCGUUGUCCGGAAUCACUGGGCGUAAAGGGCGCGUAGGCGGCCUGAUAAGUAGGGGGGUGAAAUCCUGUGGCUUAACCGCAGGGCUGCCUUCUAAACUGUCGGGCUAGAGCACAGUAGAGGCAGGUGGAAUUCCGGGUGUAGCGGUGGAAUGCGUAGAGAUCCGGAAGAACACCGGUGGCGAAGGCGGCCUGCUGGGCAGUAGCUGACGCUGAGGCGCGACAGCGGUGGGGAGCAAACAGG